GCCGUAGCGAAAGCGAGUCUGAAUAGGGCGUUUAGUAUUUGGUCGUAGACCCGAAACCAGGUGAUCUACCCUUGGUCAGGUUGAAGUUCAGGUAACACUGAAUGGAGGACCGAACCGACUUACGUUGAAAAGUGAGCGGAUGAACUGAGGGUAGCGGAGAAAUUCCAAUCGAACCUGGAGAUAGCUGGUUCUCUCCGAAAUAGCUUUAGGGCUAGCCUCAAGUGAUGAUUAUUGGAGGUAGAGCACUGUUUGGACGAGGGGCCCCUCUCGGGUUACCGAAUUCAGACAAACUCCGAAUGCCAAUUAAUUUAACUUGGGAGUCAGAACAUGGGUGAUAAGGUCCGUGUUCGAAAGGGAAACAGCCCAGACCACCAGCUAAGGUCCCAAAAUAUAUGUUAAGUGGAAAAGGAUGUGGCGUUGCCCAGACAACUAGGAUGUUGGCUUAGAAGCAGCCAUCAUUUAAAGAGUGCGUAAUAGCUCACUAGUCGAGUGACACUGCGCCGAAAAUGUACCGGGGCUAAACAUAUUACCGAAGCUGUGGAUUGUCCUUUGGACAAUGGUAGGAGAGCGUUCUAAGGGCGUUGAAGCAUGAUCGUAAGGACAUGUGGAGCGCUUAGAAGUGAGAAUGCCGGUGUGAGUAGCGAAAGACGGGUGAGAAUCCCGUCCACCGAUUGACUAAGGUUUCCAGAGGAAGGCUCGUCCGC
rnacentral:rRNA from 1 species